CAGCCGCCACGGGAAUACGUAGGGUGCGAGCGUUAAUCGGAAUUACUGGGCGUAAAGCGUGCGCAGGCGGUGAUGUAAGACAGUUGUGAAAUCCCCGGGCUCAACCUGGGAACUGCAUCUGUGACUGCAUCGCCGGAGUGCGGCAGAGGGGGAUGGAAUUCCGCGUGUAGCAGUGAAAUGCGUAGAUAUGCGGAGGAACACCGAUGGCGAAGGCAAUCCCCUGGGCCUGCACUGACGCUCAUGCACGAAAGCGUGGGGAGCAAACAGGAUUAGAUACCCCCGUAGUCCCUGUCUCUUAUAC
rnacentral:rRNA from 1 species